rnacentral:misc_RNA from 1 species
GUGAAUCAUCAAAUUUUUGAACGCAAAUUGCACUCUCCUCGGAGAGUAUGCCUGUUUGAGGGUCAGCCUAUAAAAAAUCGAAAUCGUUGCUGUUUCCCGGUGGGGUUCGCGGGAAAUUGGGUAAUCUUAAAUCUUUUGGUUUUAAGCGACUUAAAUUUUUCCUUUUGGUUACAUGAACGUCUCUAAGAUUUAUUUCUUCACACGUUUAAGGUAUCGAUUUUUUAUAGAUGUGAACCAUAUAU